rnacentral:lncRNA from 1 species
UUGCGUUAAGUUUCAACUCUCCAGUGAGCCAAAUACUCAAUGAAAUAGAAAUUGAUGAGUAUUUUCAAAGCCAACAUUGUACCUAAUGAGGAAAAUUUGGAGACAUCUCCUCUAAAAUCCCUACUACGACUACACAAUUAGAGAAGAGGAAGAAAACAGAGAUAUCAAAGUUAAAAAGGAGGUAAAACCCACGUUUUGCAGACGAUGUGAUUGCCUACCUGGGAAACCCAAGAGAAUCAACUGAAACAUUACUAUAAAA